rnacentral:misc_RNA from 1 species
AAAGUCGUAACAAGGUUUCCGUAGGUGAACCUGCGGAAGGAUCAUUAUCACGUAUCCACGUAUAAACCAUUGCGAACCGUUUUCCACCUCCGCUGGCGCAGCAUGUAAGCAUGUAGAGAACCUGGGUUCUGACCCACUAGUGGGUCAGUUAAGCAGAGCUCUUCACUUUCAAACCUGCUGCUGCUACGGAGCGUAUUCACACCAUAUUAACCAUAUAACCCAAUCUUUAUAACUUUAUGAACUAACUUUUAUUUUAUACUCUUCGGAGAUAAAAUUCAUUACGAAACAAAGAACAACUCUUAGCAACGGAUAUCUUGGUUCUC